GUACCUGUGGCUGAGUGGUUAAAGCGAUGGACUCAUAAUCCAUUUUAUUAUAACAGGGUUGCAGCGUGUGUGUGCAUGUGGCCCGGUAUU
rnacentral:tRNA from 1 species